rnacentral:lncRNA from 1 species
CGCACACACACUUCCAGGCACUGAGCUCCGUGUCACUGCUCAGUGCGCGGCUGACAGCUCGUGGUGGACGUUCACACGCUCAGAGGAUGCGCGUCCACGUGCAUGGAAGGAGCUGCUCUCUGGGUUUCAUCCUCCUGCAGCUGCUGCUCCGCAAGGAGGCCGGGGCCAUCCACCCUGAGUGUGCUCUGGUGGUGCAGCACAUGAAGGCUAAGGAGGAGUGUAACCACAUACGUAGACAGGAGAAGAGCAACCACUCCUUAAGGACAGGAUGUCUGACCACGUGGGACGACGUUCGGUGCUGGCGUGGUGUGAAGGUGGGACGGGUGGUCAGUGUCUCGUGCGCUAACAUCUCCCAGAUGCUUGCGAACAACGGAGCCUUCUCCAGGGAACCAGCGUCUCCUGGAGGAGUCUGCAUGUUCUCACUGUUGACCUGACCUCCAACGUACCCGGACCCCCCGUCUGCUGCAGCUGGAAGAUUAGCGGGAAAACAACGGCAUCC